ACGAACGCUGGCGGCGUGCCUAACACAUGCAAGUCGAACGGGGAAUUAUCGGAGAAAUUUUCGAAUGGAUCUGAUAAUAUCCUAGUGGCGGACGGGUGAGUAACGCGUGGAUAACCUGCCUAUCAGACUGGGAUAACACCGGGAAACCGGUGCUAAUACCGGAUACAAACUUACUAACGCAUGUUAGGAAGUUGAAAAGUUAUUCGCUGAUAGAUGGAUCCGCGUCCCAUUAGCUAGUUGGUGGGGUAAAGGCCUACCAAGGCAACGAUGGGUAGCCGGCCUGAGAGGGUGAACGGCCACACUGGGACUGAGACACGGCCCAGACUCCUACGGGAGGCAGCAGUGGGGAAUAUUCCGCAAUGGGGGAAACCCUGACGGAGCGACGCCGCGUGAGGGAAGAAGGUUUUCGGAUUGUAAACCUCUGUUCUAUGGGAAGAAGAAGUGACGGUACCAUAGGAGUAAGCCCCGGCUAACUACGUGCCAGCAGCCGCGGUAACACGUAGGGGGCAAGCGUUGUCCGG
rnacentral:rRNA from 1 species